GCACCACAACCUCAGCCCCUACCUGUAUGUAUGUAUGUAUAUAUGUAUGUGUUCACCACAAAAUAAAUAAAUACAAGCAUACAUACAUAGAUAUAUAAAUACAUACAUAAAGGUAGGGGCUGAGGUUGUAGCUC
rnacentral:miRNA from 1 species